UCUCUAUAGCAAGCAUGAUUUGGAAUGGCUAGAAGAUGCUGGGAUGAUAUUCGAAAGGCAAUUUAAAAAUAAAAGCUAUUUGCAUAUUUUGUGACCUGUAUCCUGGCUCAGUAGAACUGCUAUAGAUAAAGCCAAUGUGGCCUGGGUUAUUGGCACUCAAAACUAUACCUUAACCAUUAGAAAGAUUCAUCAGAACUUGCAGAAUAAACCAUUUCCAUGCCUAGGAAAUUCAUGUUUUAUAGUAAAUAAUCCAUUAUUGGAGUUCAAAAUUAAGUGUCAUGUGAAGAGAAUUUCUUACGUAUGCCAAUAGUAUGGGAAAUACAAAAAAGGAGAGGAGUAGUCCAUUAUGAAAUAAAUUAAAUCAUUUGACAAAAAUUAACAUUAUUGGAAUGUAUCCUUUAGAAUCUUCUCUGUGCUGUAUCAACAAAAAUAGGAUAAUAUAAACAUUUCCAAUAUUAAAGAUAUAAUUAAUAUGUAUCAAUUUAGCUAGUGUAUACAAAACAGCAAUGCUGUAAAAGAGAAAUAGAGGAGUUUUUGAGAGCAAGAGUAGCUACUCUCCCCCAUCUAACACUCAAAAUCUGGGACCAGAUCCUGUUUCCUUUAUACCAUUUUAGCUCUAUUUUUAUUUGAUCCUUUGCAGAACUAGAACAGUAAAACAAAGGCCAACUUGACUCUUGCAUGAUCUCGCAGUCACAAAACAGGCUGUUUGCUUGCCUGGAACUUAUGUUUGAGAACAACUGAUAAGUUUUGAUCCUGAAAAUAUUUUCAUAUCUUGUGAGUAGUAGCAAAUUUCCUAGGAAGGAGCAGCAAGGAACAGUGGGCUCCAAAUUUUGGCACGGUUUGUUAGACAUAGCAUCUCUGUACUUUUUUCUAAUCCCCAAGCUUGCAGUACACCCUUGUCAGCAGCCAGGCACUGCAUGGUGCAUUCAGUGCAGUACUUGGUUUGACACACCUGGUUGUGGUGUCACAAACAAGGUUACUCAGUGAUUCAGCCUAAUGGAAUUACUGGUCGCAAUUGGCAGUGAAGUUAUGCACAGCCAUUUCUCUGUAAGUGUGCAAUGAGAGGAGACUUCAAAAAUAGGUGUUUUACACUGUUGCUGUUUCGCCUUCUGCUAAGGAAAACAUAAGCUACGCAGAUACAACACCGACCACGCUGAAGAGGUGCAGCUUUAACUUUAGACACACAGUCAGGUGUGCAAUGCCUAGGCCAGAGAAGGCCAGACGAAAAUGGACACUCCUCAUAAAAAGACAGAAGACACUGUGACAGCGGGAAUGUGUCUGAGAACCAGAGAGCUCACACGAGGGAGGGAGAGCUGCAGGAAUGGCUGGCUUCAAUUGAUACCUGCCCUUUAUUACACACUAAUUAUUCCCACUGCAAGCCCUGCUGCUCUGCUGCUCAUGCUCUAACAGAGCAGCUCAGGUUUUGUCCCUGGGCCAGGUACCAGUGUGCAGGCAGUGAGAUGGUACCAGCACGUUUUAGACAACAUUAAAAGAUCUUGACUGAAAAUCUGGUGAAUUUAACGUCAACCAGUGAGAAGACACUGUUUGGGUGUGGUUACCUGCCCAUGGACACCUUGAGUUCUAGAUUAUAAUGUUAUGCAAGAUUGCCCCAGGUAUCACUUUGCCAAUACAAAGAAUAAGCUAUGUUUCUUCAUCUGGGUACCCUUCAACACCCCCACAGUGCUGCUAAUUCCAAAUUGCUCAACAACUGCAAUUGGCCCUUUAGGUGUUUCAAGAAGAUCUCAAACCACAUGCAAGUUGUAGUCUUCUCCCUGUGAUUUCUCUGUUUCUACACAGAGAUAAGAAUCAAUGAUGGGACACACAGAGCCUUUUUCCUUCCCCUUGCAAAGGGAACUUUCGGUUAAGGAAAGGGUACAGCAGCAAUCCCACAGGAGUAAGGACCUGGAGAUGCUGUGCUAACCCCAGGCCCAAGUGCAAUGGUCCCUCUCAUCUGUCCACCUGCAUGCCUCCACCCCUGUAAAACUGGUCCUCAAAAUGUGGGCAUGUGUUGCAGGUCAGAAAGAUUACAGUGUGAAAAAACCCAGCAGCUUUAUGCAGGAGAAGGAGAAUGAAUUACAGGGCUGGAGAGAGAAAGGAAACCCAGGAGAGCAGCAGUUGAUUCACACAUAAAUCAGCAGAAUCUGCUAUCACCCAGCCAGAUUACUGAGUUAUCCAUCCUGAACCUGAACUGCUUCCAAAUGCUACACUGCAGAUUCAGCUUAUCUAAUUCAGUGUGUUUCAGAG